rnacentral:rRNA from 1 species
GCGUAGUGAAGUCGGGAAGAGCUCAAAUUUGUAAUCUGGCACUUUCAGUGUCCUGAGUUGUAAUCUCGAGAAGUAUUUUCCGCGCCGGACCGCAUACAAGUCUGUUGGAAUACAGCGUCAUAGUGGUGAGAACCCCGUAACUGAUGCGGAUGCCCGGUGCUUUGUGAUAUACUUUCGAAGAGUCGAGUUGUUUUGGGAAUGCAGCUCAAAUUGGGUGGUAAAUUCCAUCUAAAGCUAAAUAUUGGAGCAAGACCGAUAGCGAACAAUGUACCGUGAGGGAAACGAUGAAAAGCACUUUGGAAAGAGAGUUUAACAGUAACGUGAAAUUUGUUGGAAGGGAAAACGCUUGAAAGUCAGACUUGCUAUUCGGAGUUCAGCCGCAAGGUGUAUUCUUCGAUUCGCAGGCCAGCAUC